rnacentral:tRNA from 1 species
GCCUGAGUAGCUAAGUCAGUUAAGUGUCUGACUUCAGCCCAGGUCAUGAUAUUGUGGUUUGUGGGUUCAAGCCCUGCAUCGGGCU